rnacentral:rRNA from 1 species
UCGAGUCGGCCCGCGCGGAUGAUGUAACGGGGCUAAACCAUGCACCGCAGCUGCGGCAGCGACACAUAGUGUUGUUGGGUAGGGGAGCGUUCUUUAAGCCUGCGAAGGUGUACUGUGAGGUAUGCUGGAGGUAUCAGAAGUGCGAAUGCUGACAUAAGUAACGUUAAUGCGGGUGAAAAACCCGCACGCCGGAAGACCAAGGGUUCCUGUCCAACGUUAAUCGGGGCAGGGUG